GCCUAUGGUGCAGGUUAACCGGAAGUUUCGAUUAAUGGGUACAUAAAGCACUCAAAAUAUGUACCGCAUUCAUGAAAUGUCUCCAAAAUUGCGUUAAAGUCCAGUUUUUGUCGUUUUUUGUGGUAACGGGUGUUUUCUAACGUCGUUCGGUGGUGACGUCACGGUAGGGAGUCGUGGUGGAAGGUAGCCUCAGCCUAGUACUAGAACUAUGGCGUCUAACUGGGAUGAGGAAGAGGUGGCAAGAACCACAAAUUACAUUUAUGAUGGCCCACAGCCGUAUAAUUUCGAGCCUGUUAGACGUGAGGGGGCGAAUGAGGAAUUGCCGAGGAUUGAUGGCCGUCAAAGCCAAUUAAAUUCAUGGUCAGAGGAGAAUGGGUGGAGAGUUGGUGAGGUGUCCUGGUGAGUUGCUAUCAUUUAGCAAUGCAGCAACGAGCGCUUGAGCUAUCCCCCCUCCCCGGAUAAACCCUACGAUUAGUUAUCCCACGUUUUGAUGGUUGCCUAAUAGCUCCAGUAACUACCGGUACAUAUUUUGCCUAGUCUUUAUUUCUAAGCUUUUACAUAUUCCUCCGGUGAAAGUGUUGUUGCAAACGUACCCGGUAGCCGCCGAUCACGUAGGCUGGUCAUGAAUUCAGCGGUGAUUAUUUUCGAUUCUACUCCUCGUGAUUGAUUGUCAUUGACACCAUCAGGGUACCGCUUACAGAGAGAGGGAGAGUAGUAAGCGUGUCUGUGUCGCUGUGUUUGGCAGGUGUUUGUGUGGGCGGUGCCGUCCUAUGGAAUCUGUGGUGGAGAGCUUGUGCUGUAGGGAAGUGAGUGCGUUUUGGUCGCUGGUCGAGAAGCUCAGCCCAAGACCAGCAGAUGUGACAUGCCUCACUCAGCAUCCAGGAUUUGAUGCAUGCUGCCUGAAUCCGUUUGUGCUUAAGAUAGCGUACACACAUUUCAAGCAGGAUCAUGGUCCCCUUCAAGCCAGCACGCACGAGCAAUACCGGUACACUGCAUACAGGCAGGCUAUACGAUGGGCUUAUGGAGUUCUUGGCCUGCAUAUAAGGAAGCCUCUACCCUCCUGUCUGGUUUCAGCCAUCAGGCAACAAUUUCAGAGUGGUGACCAGACCUAUCAUGGCUUUCAAUGGCCUCGUUUGGAUGAAGAAUAAAAACCAUAUUGGCACGUACAACAUGAAUACAAUUAUUUUUCAGUUCAAGAAUUAACUCAUGCUAGUUGUGUUGCGAUCGCUCAACCGCCUUUAAAAUGUUAUAAAAUACACAGAACAUGUGAAUUCAUAUAAAAACAGUUUAUUAGGUCAUCCCAAGUAAUGGGGAUCGAUUACUGAAAAAAGGGACAGGUUGAAAGGCCUGAUAAAGUAAACAAAUCAAGAAAAAAAGGGUUAGGCACAAAGAAACCAACAUAAAAUAAUCGUGCAAUAGUGUGGUCUUACCUGAGGGUCAGCACUCACACAGCACAUUCUCUCACUCACUCACGGACACAUACAUGCAAUGAUAUCACAUAGAGCAGACGCAUAGUGAUCCAAGAGAAAAGCGCACACAGAGGUCCCUUUCGGAUUCUUACAAUUUUUUUUAUGAAUUAUGGGGCAAAUGGAGCUGUAAAGGAAUGAUUUGUGCACACAA